rnacentral:lncRNA from 1 species
CACGUAAGUUAAAUUCUUGCAUUUGGUGAGAGUUUUAGAACCUACAUAAUAACUCGGGAAAUGUGCAUCAGAUAUUAUCUAGAUACUUUAGGGAGGAACUAAAAAUUCUGUGAUGGCCUCAUAGCUGAUUUACUGUUUAAAUCGUUACCAUUUUUCCUGGCCCAGCUGCUACCUUUUUCAUUACAUGUACAAUCUAAUUCUUAAUUCCAGCUUUUGUGGCUCAGGGGAGGCCUAGGAAACUACAGCUUUUCUUCAAACAAUAAGCAGUCUAAGAGUGAUCUGCCUAUGUUGUCCUCUAGGAAUUUUAUAGUAUCUGGGCUUACAUUUAGGUUUUUAAUGCAUUUUUGUUUUGUUUUUUAUAUUCUACUUUAUUUUUUGGUCUCAUUUUGAGUUUAUUUUUAUAUGGUAUCAGAGAAUGUUCUAAUCUCAUUCUUUUACAUGUAGCUGUCUAGUUUUCCCAGAACCACUUAUUGAAGAGAUUACCUUUCCUCCACUGUUUCUUAUUGCCUCCUUUGUUAUAAAUUAGUUGACUGACCAUAGGUGCUUGGGUUUAUUUCUGGGCUUUCUAUCCUCUUCCAUUGAUCUAUAUUUCUGUUUUUAUGCUAGUACCACAUUGUUUUGAUAACUGUAGGUUUGUAAUAUUUUCUGAAGUCAGGGAGCCUGAUUCCUCCAGCUCCGUUUUUCUUUUUUUCAAUAUUACUUUGGCUAUUUGGGGUCUUUCAUUUCUGAUACAAAUGUUAAAAUAUUUUGUUCUAGUUCUGUGAAGAAUAUCAUUGGUAAUUUGAUAGGAUUGCACUGAAUCUGUAGAUUGCCUGAGGCACUAUAUUCAUUUUGACAGUAUUGAUUCUUCCAAUCCAAGAGUAUGGUAUAUCUUUCCAUCUGUUGGUGUCAUCUUUGAUUUAUUUCAUCAGCAUCUUAUAGUUUUCAGAGUACAGAUCUUUUGUCUCUUUAGAUAGAUUUUAUUCCUAGGUAUUUUAUUCUUUUUGGUGUGAUGGUAAACGGUAUGGUUUCAUUAAUUUCUCUUUCUGAUCUUUCAUUGUUAGCAUAUGGAAAUGCAAUCAAUUCUGUGUAUUAAUUUUGUAUCUUGCAACUUUACCAAAUUCAUUGAUUAGCUCUAACAGUUUUCUCAAAGUAUCUUUAAAAUUUUCUAGGUAUAAUAUUAUGUCAUCUGCAAACAGCGAUAGUUGUACUUUUUUUCCCCAAUUUCGAUUUCUUUUAUUUCUUUGUCUUCUGUGAUUGCUGUGCCUAGGACUUCCACAAUUAUGUUGAAUAACAGUGGUGAAAGUGGACAUCCUUGUCUUGUUUCCAAUCUUAGCAGAAAUGAUUUCAGUUUUUCACCAUUGGAAAUGAUGUUAGCUGUGUGUUUGUCAUAUACGGCUUUUAUCAUGUUAAAAUAGGUUCCUCUAUGCCCACUCUCUGGAGAGUUUUUUUUUUUUACACAUCAGGAAUGGGUGAUAAAUUUUGUCAAAAGCUUUUUUGGCAUCUAUUGAGAUGAUCUGCUGAGACCAGCUCAGCAGAUGAGGGCUGAAGAACAGGUGCUGUGAAACUUAAGAAAAAGUUAACAUAAAAGACACAGAGACAUUUAUCUUAAUUAAAGGUGGGAACCAGGGACUCAAGGUCUCAGGGAACAAGAGCACCACCUCAAGAAACCACACUGCUUUUAUUGUGCUCUUUAGGAUUACAUCAAGUGAGGAGGGACCUAUAGGUGCAGGAUAUAAUUUUUUAAAUUGUUAUUUUAAAAGUCACAUAGCUGGUAGCUGGUUAAGCUUUUACUCUGACCUUUAGGCAUUUAAAAAUCAUUAGCAUUGAGGAAGCUUGGCAUCAGCUAUCUAUGCACAGCAUCUAGAGAAUCAUCAUUGUGCUUCUGCAGACGGAGUGCCUAUCUGCAGCAACCCUGCCUGUGUCUAGGUUUGUACAUCAUUCUCUUUGCUGAUGCGUAUCUUGUUAAAGACCCCUCAUAAACCCCUUGGGGUCAUGAGGAUCAUCUUCCUCUUAUUCUUAAGAGGACAUAUCAUGCUGUGGAAACAGCUGUGCCUAUCUGCACAGGCCCGUCAUGCCUAGACCAAUGCAUUAUGUCCUUGUUCAGCUGACCACAUGAAAACUUUAGGUCUUUAUGCCUUUAGGUCUUUGAUUUUAAGCUUAAGUUAUUUACCAGCAUUGUGACUAUUUUUCAAGCAGUGUACAGUGUGUACACUGUGUCUGAUACAAUGUAUAUACAUGUAUCAUUGUAGCACUGUUCACAAUAGCCAAGACAUGGAAACAACCCAAAUUUCCAUCAAUAGAUGAAUGGAUUAAGUGUUACAUAUAUGUAUGGUAGAAUGCUAUUCAGCCUUUAAAAGGAACAAAUAAUGCCAUUUGCAGCAACAUGGAUGGAACUAGAGAUUUUCAUACUAAGUGAAGUUAAGUCAGAAAGAGAAGAACAUAUACCAUAUGACAUCACUUACAUGUGGAAUAUAAAAUAUGGCACAAAUGAUCCUACCUACAAAAUAGAAACAGAUCAUGGACGUGGAGAGCAGACUUGUGUUUGCCAGAGAGGAGAGGGGAGAGAAAGAGGAUGAACAGGGAGUCUGGGGUUGGUAGAAGCAAACUAUUACCUUUAGAGUGCAUAAGUAAUAGGGUUAUGCUGUACAGCAUAGGGAACUGUGUUCAGUCUCUUGGGUUAGAACAUGAUGGAAGAUGGAAUGAAAAAAAAGAAUGUAUGUGUAUGAGUGCCUGGGUCACUUUGCUGUAUAGCAGAAUUUGAAGGAAUGUUGUAAAUCAAAUGAAAUAAAAAUUAAAAAAAAUAAAUUACUUUCUGGUGAUCACACACACAAUAAGAGGCAGGCAGAGGAGGUGGGGGAAAGUUUCUCUUCUGGGAAGAUCUCAUAGGGUGCUGCUCGGUUAUAUUGUUAGAAUUAGAAAAAAGUAAAAAAUCAAAAUAUUAACUGGUUAUCUGUGUUGUAAACAUUCUAUUUUGUUGUUGUUGUUUACCUCUAAUUACUGGUUGUUUUGUUGUUGUUUUUCUUCUUCAAAAGUAAAGCACUUUACUUAUGUAAGAAGUAUAAUACUGGAGUGCCCAUUGUGGCUCAUUGGGUUAAGAACCUGAUUCGUAUCCAUGAGGAUUUGGGUUUGACUCCUGACCUCACUCAGUGGAUUAAGGAUCUGGCUUUGCCACAUGCUGUACCAUAGGUUGUGGUUGUGGCUCAGAUCCUGCAUUGCUAUGGCUGUGCCAUAGGCUGGCAGCUGCAGCUCUGAUUCAACAAGGAAUUUCCAUAUACCACAGGUGUAGCCCUUAAAAAAAAAGAAUUCAAGUUUCCGAUUUAUAUGAAAUUACUGAAAUAUAUUCUGGAGAAACAUCAUACAAAUAUAUAACUACUUAAUACAUACUAUAGAAAUAUAAGAAAUGUUUUUUCAUUUUUUAAAGUUUAGUUGAAGCAUAGUUGGUUUACAAUGUUUAGAUAAUUUCUGCUGUACAACAAAGUGAUUCGGUUAUAUAUGUACACACAUCCAUUCUCUUUCAGAUUCUUUCCCACAUGGAUUAUCACAGAAUACUGGGUAGAGUUCCCCAUGCUAUACAGCAUGUCCCCAUGUGCCAGUCAUUCCAUUCCAUUCCUCAGUGUGCAUGUGUCAAUCACAAACCCCCAGUCCAUCCCUCCUCCCACCUGUCCCCUUCAGUAACCAUAGGUUUGUUUUCAAAGUCUUUGAAUCUCUUUCUGUUAUGCAAAUAAGUUCAUUUAUAUCCUUUUUAAAGAAAUAUUAAAACUUCAUGAAAAUUUCAGGUUGAAAUUAUCUUCAAAGUAUUAGUUGCACUUCUAUAAUGAAGGUUACAGUGCCAUUUAUAAUAGGUAAACAUACCUCCACCAAUAAGGAAAAAUUCCUUUCAGAAAUAAAUAUCAAGUUUAAUUCUGUCAUUUACAACUUAUUGUGUAUAACCUGUUGUCUAUACAUAAGCAGCAAAAGGUAAUUAUUCCCUGUUAAAGAAUAUAUCCUUCAUCUAUAAAUGCUAUAAUUAGAAAUGUUAAACUUCAAGGAUAAUUAUAUGAAUGAUGCUAUAUUUAAAUUUAAAGUAUAGGAAAAGGGAAUUUAUGGUUAUAGAGCAACCUGACCAAUUCAUCACAAUCUUAAGAAUUUUACAUAUGAUUUAUAUUAAUUUAAAUGUGUAUGUUUGAUCCAUGCAUUCGUUAAUAAUGCUUUUGAAAACCAAAUAUCAGUGAUUUUCAGAGAUUUCGUCCAACAAUGGGAAUACAAUUAUCCACCGUCCUUUGAAUGCAGUGAGAAUAGGAGCAAAUGAGGUUUGCCAAGUAUGCUGAUAGCUUAGCUUGUUUUAUUUAAUGAAAUCUGAAGCUCUUUAUAUAACAAUGUAAUCUGCAAAAUAAAUAUAGAUAAUGUAUACAAAUUAUCUGUUGUAACUGAAUUCACGAGCUCUGUUUUAAUAUAAUGUACCACAAUGAGAAUAAUUAUUUGAAUUGAUUUAAAUUUAUAUUGUUAACAUAUUCAAUUAUUUGCUAUUGAAUCACAAUGCAUACUAUUAACUAAAAGAAUCUCUUCUUCAUGAGAUAUUUCAAUUUGCUUCUUUACUUAAAAAAAAGAAGCAAAGGAAAAAUUAUCUCACAGAAAGAGUACGGUGUAAGCUAUUUUACUAGUAAAUACUUCACAGGAUUCAUCACACAGUAGAUUAGGAGAGAAAGAUACAACAGUGCAAUGUAAUAUCAGUGAGCGAGUAGGGGUGAUGCUCCAACCAAUUACAAAAUGUAUGAUAGGAAAAAAAUGAGUCAGAGGAUAAAAUAAACAAGAAAUAAUUUAGAGUUAAAAAUUAAUUUGGACCCAAUUAGAGAAGCCAAAGCAAACAAACAAAAAUUUUUUGUCCUAGGAGAAAGAAACAGAUUCACAGUGUUCAGCCUAUUUUCCAAGAGACUCCUAAUGCUGAGGAAUCUUUCAUUUAUCUGUAAGUGGAAUGUUUAUACAGAAUGUGUAUAGUUUCCCAAGUGUUUUCCUUCUUAACAGCCUCCAAGACCCCUCAACUCUAAUUAAACAACUUCUUCAAGCUUAACUAUUAGAUAUCUAAGAGAAAAAAGAGAGAAGUCCAAGAAUGACUUAAAUAGAGAAGACCCAUCUCCCAACUACAGAUAGGUGCCUAAAAGUAAGAUGGAGACAAAGGACAGGGAAUGAUCAGCUUUAAGAGAAAUUGAGGAGGUGAUAGAAGUCUUUUCUAGACAGUAAAAUAUGGUAAGUAAAAUAUGAUAAGCUUGGAAUAAAAUGGAAAGUAUAUUUGUAUGUACUUAUAGAUGUGGCUGCAGAUCAAAUUAAAUGAUUGAAAUGAUAUAUACUGACAUCCAGUUGAUAAACACUGAUUAAAUAUCCUCCUUGUUGAAACACACUCUACGGAUGUUGAGUGUAGGUAUCAAUAAAGUAAUUAGGUUUCUACUCUGAUUUUACAAUGUAGCAGAUGACAUGCUUAAAAAGAGCAAAUAAUUUAAAAGUCAUGAGUAACAAAUGGCAUAAAUGAGAAAUUGAUGGUGUGGGAUUAUGUUAUGAGGAGAUCUAACCUAUUCUGGUUGGGAGGGUCACAAACAAAGUCCUUCAUAACUGAGAUUUCAUCUGAAGUCUACAUGGUAAAGAGGUAAAAAGCAGAAUUUUCAGUGUGGGAUUCUACCAGUGACUGAGUAUGUCUGUUUCAAUCAUGCUUUCUGUAACUGGGAAAGAUGUGUGACAAGUUCAGGGACACUGGACCCGUUGUGAGAUGAAUCUGAGCUAAAACUCCAUUGACCUCCUGACCUCCUUAAGACUGGGGGCCACAUUGAAGAUUUGGGUUUCCUGGAAUUAGUGUGAGUUCAAAGUCAAAGUUCAGCAAUUAUCAAAAUGUCUGACUCUUUUCUGUUCCCCAGUACACCGUCAUCUGGUUAAAGGUCUUAAAUCCUUUUGGGGAAGACUGGAAGAAAGGUGAAGGAUAUACAUUUUUUUGGCAUUGUAUUGGGGUCCUUACUCAAGGGGACUCCAUCCACUCUUUUUUCAAGGAAUUCUGAGUCUGUUAACUUGUUCAAGUUUGGGAAUUGAUUGAGUGGUCUUGAACCUCAGUUUUUAUGGUUCAGGUUAGAUUUUUUUUUUUUUUCACAUUUUCCCUUGCCCUCAUUUGUUUGUCUGGCUUCUCAUUAUUAUCUGCUUCCACAAGUUUUAAAGUUACUAAUGUUCUCUGUUAGAUUUAAUUUUAGUCAUCUUCUAUGAUUCCUUAGCAGCAGUCUAUACAGUGGAACUCUCUUUGCUUCUUAAAACAUCCCAUUUUCACUGAAAACAAAGUAGAUUUUAGCAAAACGUACAUUUUAUUGUAAAAUCCACUGCUUAGAUUCUUUUGAUAGUUAACUAUGCACUUAGGAUAAAAUCCUAAAUUCUUAGAAGUAUCUUCAUGUAGUCAUCUUUAAUUGGAUUUUUUUAGUAGUUGAAAAAAGUAUAUACAUAAAAUAUGGCCCAUUUCAAUAUAACAACCAAUAAAAAUAACAAGGUUUUAAUCUCUAAAAUAGAGUAGAAAUAUUUGAAAUACAUGAAAUUUUAUUUUACAUUAAAGUAAGAAUGUAGAAACAUUAAUCACAAUCUGACAUGGCUCAUUGAGAAUACUUAGUGAAUAAGAAAAGCAGUUUAGAAUAAUGCUAAAGGCAACAAAACCAGAAGAAAACUAAUGCGUGGAGGAUAUCAUAAAGCCAUAGACUCAGAGAAAAGAGAAGCCUUCAGACUUAUGAAUUAGAGGCAGUCACCUCUGGCUCUGUGGGAAAGGGGAAAAGAAUGCCCCUUUCCCACAGAGGGAAAAAUAUUGGGAAUCAAUUCUGAUGCAAAAUUAUGCUGAAUCAGUCCCAAUUGAAAGUUCUCUAAGAAAUCAAGUUUUUUCCUCAUUAAAACCAUUACCACUCCCCAAUCAGGAAUUCCUAUGAAAAUCUUCAAAUAUCUAGCAAUAUAUGCAUAUGGUUAAGAAAUAAUUCAUCAGAGGCUCCUUAUUGAGAAAAAGAAAAU